rnacentral:tRNA from 1 species
CAGAAAAUAGUUUAUAAAAAUAUUAAUUUUGGAGAUUAAAGAUAGGAAAUUUCCUUUUUCUGA